AGUUUCCCUAAAGUUAGAUAUUAACUAACUAAGUUGUGUAUGAUUUUGUCUUCUAGAGGAUGCAAAUAGUUUUUGUUGAGUAGAAUAGAUAACCAUAGAGGCUAUAGUUAUAUUGCUUUGAUUUCUGCUUUGCUUCAUAUCUAACUUAGGAACUAGGUGGUUUCAUCAUCUUAUCUCUUACUAAGUAUGUAUUCAUCUUGUGUCCUCUUUUGAAUCAGCUUUACCAUCCUGCUGGUUCCCUCAUUAACUAGGUAUAUAAUCUCUGACUUAUACACAUUAUAGACUGAGUACAAGAGCCAUAUUUGCAUGAUCACAGUUACAUACUGUCUCCUUUACUUCAACUUCCCCAUCAAGCUCUUGGCUACCAGGUGCCUCAACCUACCCUGAAAUAUCCUCAAGAAAGAUAAUUUCCAAAUGUACAACCACAUCUUUUAAGGAACAAUCUACAUAGGACCUCAAGGACUUUGAAUCUAAUGUUCUACAUCUGUAGGAUGGAGAUGAUGCUUCCAAAGACUCUGAAUAUAAAGGAAAGUUCCCAGCACAUGCCAGCAUGCAGUGAUGCUCGACUUCUCUUUUCCAGGCUAAGUAAUCCCAGGUCCUUGUUGUCUGAUGAAUUCACAUCUACCCUCGAUAAACUUCUGAGAUUAGAGGCAGAGGCAGCAGCUGCAAACCUGUGCUCCGGAGCUACACAGUGCAGCUUUAGCACCUCCUGACUCACCACCCCCCACGUGGCCACUGCUGAAUUAUGUGCAUUUUAAUGAGGAGAUUGAUGUCACUUUCCUUUCUUCCUCCCUCUCCAACACAAUUUUAUUGAGUGCCUGUUAUGUUCCAGACACUUCUAAAAGCUAGGUGUAAAAUGAGAUUUUUAAAAACUGUGUUUUCAUUUUUCUACGAGUAUGUAUUUCUUUCACAAUCAGACAAUAAAAAUACAUAUUGUUUUAAAAGCUGAUCUUAAGACAUUACUCCUGCCUUCAAGAUGCCCACAACCUAUGAAAG
rnacentral:lncRNA from 1 species